rnacentral:rRNA from 1 species
AUGAAGGCAUUAGGCAUUACAACAAAAGGAACAGAGCUGCUAUAUUUACAACAUGCUUUGUAUUAUUUUAUAUGGGAAAAUUUUGUUUUUGCCACUCUAGAUUUUGUCAAUUUUUCUUAUGCCACUCUAGAUUUUGACAUCUCGCUUUUGCCACUCUUAGUUUGUGACAAUUAUCACAAUUGCCAUUCUGUUAGGUCAAUGGAUGUUUUGACCAAACGGAGCAGGGAAAAGACCAUAUUGCCCUAUGUUAUUUGUUUUGCUUUUGACACUCCAGUUCUCGCCAAAUAUUGCUUUUGCCACUAG